GCGGCGCCCCCAGCCGGGGAGCGGGGGGCGGGGGCUGCGCGCCCAGCCUGCGGCCCAGAUGGCGGGCCAGCCCCGCGCGGGGACACUUUCUCAGGCUUUCAAAAAGAGCACUUUCUUUCCUGCCUAAUAUUUAGCUCCUUCAAAUGCAAAUGGAGAGGUUUCGCUCCAAGAUGUUCCAGGAGACUUUUCUAGACCUUCCUCCUGGGGCCAUCCUCCACCUGUCACUUCGGAAGAUGCGGUGAGGUCUCAGCCUCCUAGGUCUUCCUCACCUGAGACCCAAGAGAGACUGGAGACCCUUGGGAGCUCAUUAAAUCUUUCAGCCGCAUUGACAAUAUAUUGGCAAAUGCUUCGCGACCCACUAGGAUCUACAGUGCCUAGAUGACACUGUGAGCGGUUGGUGUCCCGAUGCCAUCUGGCACAUAAGAGCGAACGUGGAUCCAUUACCAUAUGGUGUAAUGCUAGCAGAACAAAGAAUGGUUUCAUUUCUUCGUAACUUGCUGACGCAAGUAAAGCCAAGGCUGAUGCUUCGCAAAGUUCUUCAUACUGAGAGGAUUCAGAACAACACAGAAGAUUAGAGAGAUGUUAAUAAUCAUCAAAACUCGAGACAAGGCCUCCGACUUACUGCUGUAGCUGAAAGAGAUGCUUCGGGAGAGACACCCUCGUCCAGCCAGCCCCGUGUUGCCUUCAUCUCCUCCAGUUACCCAGGGAGACCCAAAAGUUGUCUCUUCUCCGAGUAGGGAACCAGUGGAAUGGAUCCCUGAAACUCAGUGAACAUAGCGUUGCUUCACUCCAGCAUUUCCAUGCACACAAGCAUUCUGUUACCUCUGACACAAUUGCAUCUGCGAUAGUAACUGAGACGUAGAGGCAGUCAGGCGCUAGGGCUCCGGGCACAGCCGCAGUGUCAGAUCGAGCACGGCCGGCAGUCUGACAUGAGCAAGGUCCGAAACACCCCAACCUCAGGCUGCUUAUCUGCCAAGUUCCAAUUACCUACCUCACAGGGCUGCCGAAAAGGCUAACCAAGAAGAACCUGCAUUACAAUGUUCAGCUCAUUACAAGUCAUGACAAAGCCCCGUUGGAACCAAAGAGGACUGACGCUCUUUAUGUGCCGAGAAGCUGUUCCCAUUAGUUGUCUUUCCCUGCAACAGGCCAGUGCUAACAUAACCGGAGAAUGAAACUUUGAAGAUCCUUGCAAUUUCAUUUUUUGUGUAUUGAGGAGACGGGAGAUACGUGUGUGAUUGCGGAGGUCACGGCACAGCACGUGGGUAUGGACAUAAUUGGGGGGAUGGGGGACAAAGAACUCAGCUCCAAAUUGAAGAUCUUUGUUUGAAGUAACACCGGAAGGCAAACCAGGAGAGCAUAUUGGAGUGUAUUCUUCUGAUUAGAAAGACCUAGCCCAAUAUUGAGAAAAUC